rnacentral:rRNA from 1 species
ACGAAGCGACGCCGCGUGCGGGAAGAAGGCCUUCGGGUUGUAAACCGCUGUCGGGAGUUAAGAAGUGCAGGGAUGUUAAUAGCAUCCUUGCUUGACUAAGGCUCCGGAGGAAGCCACGGCUAACUCUGUGCCAGCAGCCGCGGUAAUACAGAGGCGGCAAGCGUUGUUCGGAAUUAUUGGGCGUAAAGAGCACGUAGGCGGCCGUGUAAGUCGGUUGUGAAAGCCUUCCGCUCAACGGAAGGACGGCAUCCGAUACUGCAUGGCUCGAGUGCGGGAGGGGAGAGUG